rnacentral:rRNA from 1 species
GACGAACGCUGGCGGCGUGCUUAACACAUGCAAGUCGAACGGUAAGGCCCUUCGGGGUACACGAGUGGCGAACGGGUGAGUAACACGUGGGUGAUCUGCCCUGCACUUCGGGAUAAGCCUGGGAAACUGGGUCUAAUACCGGAUAGGACCACUGCCUGCAUGGGUGGUGGUGGAAAGCCUUUGCGGUGUGGGAUGGGCCCGCGGCCUAUCAGCUUGUUGGUGGGGUGAUGGCCUACCAAGGCGACGACGGGUAGCCGGCCUGGGAGGGGGACCGGCCGCAGUGGGACUGGGAGACGGCCCAGAGUACUACGGGAGGCAGAAGUGGGAAUAUUGCACAAUGGGCGCAAGCCUGAUGCAGCGACGCCGCGUGAGGGAUGACGGCCUUCGGGUUGUAAACCUCUUUCAGCACCGACGAAGCGCAAGUGACGGUAGGUGCAGAAGAAGGACCGGCCAACUACGUGCCAGCCGCCGCAGUAACAC